GAUGAACGCUGGCGGCGUGCCUAAUACAUGCAAGUCGAGCGAACCGACGAGGAGCUUGCUCCUCUGACGUUAGCGGCGGACGGGUGAGUCACACGUGGAUAACCUACCUAUCAGACUGGGAUAACUUCGGGAGACCGGAGCUAAUACCGGAUAAUAUAUUGCACCGCAUGGUUCCAUAGUGGAAGUCGGUUUUGCUGUCACUUAUAGCUGGAUCCGCGCCGCAUUAGCUAGUUGGUAAGGUAGCGGCUUACCAAGGCGACGAUGCGUAGCCGACCUGAGAGGGUGGUCGGCCAGACUGGAAGUGAGGAAGGGUCCCGACUCCGACGGGAGGCAGCGGCAGGGAAUCCUCCGCAAAGGGCGAAUGGCGGACGGAGCAACGCCGCGUGAGGGAUGAAGGACUUCGGAUCGGAGAGCGCUGUAAGCAGGAGAGAACAAAUGCGUAAGUACCUAGGCACAUCUUGACGGUACCUAAACAGUAAGCCACGGCUAACUACGUG
rnacentral:rRNA from 1 species